rnacentral:rRNA from 1 species
UACGAAGGGGGCUAGCGUUGUUCGGAAUUACUGGGCGUAAAGCGCACGUAGGCGGAUAUUUAAGUCAGGGGUGAAAUCCCAGAGCUCAACUCUGGAACUGUCUUUGAUACUGGGUAUCUCGAGUAUGGAAGAGGUGAGUGGAAUUCCGAGUGUAGAGGUGAAAUUCGUAGAUAUUCGGAGGAACACCAGUGGCGAAGGCGGCUCACUGGUCCAUUACUGACGCUGAGGUGCGAAAGCGUGGGGAGCAAACAGG